rnacentral:RNase_P_RNA from 6 species
UCCCUAGUACGAGAGGAAUGGUCGCCUCAGGCGACAGGAAAGUCCGGACAGCUAAAAGGAAGGGUGGCUGGGGAAACCCAGUCCUUCCCGAGGUGACUCGGGAGGCGCGACAGGGCCACAGAGACGAUUAAAGGUGAAACGCCCCGCCGCUCGGCGGGGAUCCUCAAGGAGUAAUCUUAGAGGAGUGGUAACCCGCCCCGCUGCAAUCGACGAAUUGGGAUUAAGGUGCCUUUUCCGUCCCUAAAGUCUCGAGCAUAGAUAGAUAUUCCUCCACGACAGAAUCCGGCUUAUUGUACUAGGGAGCCC